rnacentral:lncRNA from 1 species
UCUCCUACAACUGCUACUCUGGAAACUUCUCCUCCCGCCCUGUGGGGCAUAACUGCGCUACCCAGGCUUCUCUUGUGGCUCUUCCUACCCCAGCAAACUGGUCUACAGCACUGACCUCUGCUCUCCCAGCACCUGCCAGCUGGGCUCUUCUCUCUACAGGGGCUGUCAGGAGACCUGCUGGGAGCUCCGCAGGUGCCAGACAUCCUGUGUAGUGUCCAGCACCUGCCAGAUCUCCUGCUAUUGCCCCAGAACCUCUAUACUCUGCAGGCCCUGCCAGAUGACUUACUCUGGAUCUCUGGGCUUUGGAUCCAGGGGCUUUCAAUCUUUUGGCUGUGGCUCUCCAUCCCUGGGCUUUGUAUCCAGUGUAUUCCAAUCCAUGGGUUAUUGUCCCAUUGCUUUCACAUCCCUAAAUUAUAGACCCAACUUUUACCACCCAACCUUCUAUUCUUCUAGUAGCUGCCAGUCUGCUUCUUACCAUCCAGCCUGUGAAUAUGACUUU